AGCGAACGCUGGCGGCAGGCCUAACACAUGCAAGUCGAACGAAGUCUUCGGACUUAGUGGCGGACGGGUGAGCAACACGUGGGAACGUGCCUUUAGGUUCGGAAUAACUCAGGGAAACUUGUGCUAAUACCGAAUGUGCCCUUCGGGGGAAAGAUUUAUCGCCUUUAGAGCAGCCCGCGUCUGAUUAGCUAGUUGGUGAGGUAAAGGCUCACCAAGGCUACGAUCAGUAGCUGGUCUGAGAGGAUGACCAGCCACAUUGGGACUGAGACACGGCACAAACUCCUACGGGAGGCAGCAGGGGGGAAUCUUGCGCAAUGGGGGAAAGCCUGACGCAGUCAUGCCGCGUGGAUGAUGAAGGUCUUAGGAUUGUAAAAUCCUUUCACCGGUGAAGAUAAUGACUGUAGCCGGAGAAGAAGCCCCGGCUAACUUCGUGCCAGCCGCCGCAGUAACAC
rnacentral:rRNA from 1 species